GAUGAACGCUGGCGGCGUGCCUAAUACAUGCAAGUCGAGCGAACGGACGAGAAGCUUGCUUCUCUGAUGUUAGCGGCGGACGGGUGAGUAACACGUGGAUAACCUACCUAUAAGACUGGGAUAACUUCGUGAAACCGGAGCUAAUACCGGCUAAUAUUUUGAACCGCAUGGUUCAAAAGUGAAAGACGGUCUUGCUGUCACUUAUAGAUGGAUCCGCGCUGCAUUAGCUAGUUGGUAAGGUAACGGCUUACCAAGGCAACGAUGCAUAGCCGACCUGAGAGGGUGAUCGGCCACACUGGAACUGAGACACGGUCCAGACUCCUACGGGAGGCAGCAGUAGGGAAUCUUCCGCAAUGGGCGAAAGCCUGACGGAGCAACGCCGCGUGAGUGAUGAAGGUCUUCGGAUCGUAAAACUCUGUUAUUAGGGAGGAACAGAUGUGUAAGUAACUGUGCACAUCUUGACGGUACCUAAUCAGAAAGCCACGGCUAACUACGUG
rnacentral:rRNA from 1 species